AUGGAAACAACUAAAUCAAAAUUGAAACAAAAGUACUGCAGUAAUAAAUAGGAAAACUAAAAUAACCCGAGGAUCGAGUUAUUAAAAUGUCAGAUGGAGACAGUACAUAGUUUAAAACAGAUGGUAACAAAACAUGAAAAACAAGUUCCCAACAUUUCAAAACUACUACCAUAAUUAAGCUUUGAGGCGUCCAUAGAACUUUUGCUUCUCUGAUGUUGUCUGGAAACGACCAUGUCCAAACUUGGAAGAGGUAUCGAUAAACUUGAGUUUGAUAUCCUCAAGAGCAAGACGAGAAGUCUGCUUAAGAAGGGACUGGCGCAGAGUAAUAACCCUCUUCUUGGGACCAACACAGCCUCCCUUGAUCAUCAGAAAAUCCUCCUUGACAAUACCGUAGUGUGGGAAACCACCCAUAGGUGUAAUGUCUUUCUCAGUCCUGUUAACAAAAAAGGUUGGAUAGGUUUGGUUUUCAUCUUGAUAGAAUAAAACAAUCAACAUUUUUUCCUAAACUGAAAUAUGUUGCAAGUAACAAUAAACAAUCAGAGCAAGUAACCAUAAACAUAAACACUGAAUUGUAAUCUAUUGCAACCAAUGAACAAUCAGAGCAUGUUACUCACCUAUCGAAUUCAGUCUGGGCGUCAUGGGUCUCCUCUCCAACUUUGCCGAGCUUGUAAAUUUUCUUGUUCAGCUCAGUUCUGUGAUGGUAUCCGUUCUGACCAGCUCUGGCAACAGUGAAAGAAACUCUAGCAGGAUGCCAAGCUCCAAUACAUGCAACCUUCCUCAAACCCCUGUGAGUCUUACGAGGAAGACGAGUAACACCCCAACGAGUAACAACACCUUCAUAACCCUUACCCUUGGUCACUCCAAUGAUGUCAAUCAUUUCAUCUUUCUGGAACACAGCAUCAAUAGGAACCUGCUUCUCAAAGAAACUGUAUGCAAAGUCCACCUUCUGUGCAAUGGUACCACCAUUGACUUGAAUCUCCAUUAUAUGGGCUUUCUUCUGCUUCAAACCCUUCAUUUUCCUGAUCUGAGAUAAAGGUAAACAUUCACAUGUUAGAAAACUUGGAUUCAUUUGAUACUUGAGUCAUUCAGAAUUAAUAAUUCAACUAAAAGAAACAAUAUUACUAUGUAAAUAUUCCUAUUGUCAAAAUUAUGACACUAUAAUAAAAGAACGAUAUCAAAAACCAAGUUAUAGUAUGCGACACAGCAAUUUCUUGUGACUAAUGCAUUGUUAUCAAGAGUUAUUUCAUCAUACAUAAGAGUCAGAAAUCUCGUGUGGAAGUGCCGCUCAUAGCAACUAAUUAGCGCUGCGUUUGCACAGAUAUUUCAUCAUUCUCGUCUCACAAGAAAAUAGAAGUCAUAAGGGACAUUAUGUUAACCGUUGAGAUAUACAGGCAGUAUAGUGUAAAAACUUCCUCCAAAAUAAAGUUCCAGAAAGGGUGGCACAUAACCACCAUCAACGGUGACUACAUUUUUCAAAAAGUAUAGCCAAAAAUAAAAUAAAAAACACAAUUAUAAACUAGAGUCAGAAAUCUCGUGUGGAAAAUGCCGCUCAUAGCACCCAAGUGCUGCGUUUGCACAGAUAUUUUCAUCAUUUUCAUCUAACAAAACAAUAAGAAAGUAUAACAAAAUCAACAUUAUAUUCAGAUAUACAGUCCACCUUCAAAAUAUAUUCCGAAUUACAACUACUUCCUAGAAUGAGUUGCAAAAGAGUGUAAAAAGUAAACAGCACAUUUGGCAAUUACCUGAGUGUGAGCCAACACACGGAUAACAGUUGCAUACUUCUUCAGUUUCUCAAGCUGGGUCUGAAUGUUUUUCUUCCCCUCAUCACUUUCAUACUGCUUUGAGUACUUGCUGAAAGCCUUCUUCUUGGACUUGCACCAGUUCUUGUAGAACCUACGCUUAAUUUCCUCACUCAAAUGCUGAGUCCACACAGUGUUCAAUGUUCUAAGACCACGGGGAGUUUUCACAUAACCCACAACACCGACAACAACCAUGGGAGGUGUCUCAAUGAUUGUCACGGGCUCACAAGUCUCCUUCUUGUGAAGCUCUGAGAUAGAAAAAAAGUUAAUGUUUAAAUAUAUUUCUGAAAAUCAGGGUAAUACAUAAUUAUAACUACCUCAAUAAGAAACAUUAGAUUACAUGUAAAAGUACGAGAACACAACAUUGUUGGCAUUAUAAAAUGCACAACCAGAUUUGGCUGAAAAUGAACUUUAGGCAUACAACUAAAAACAAAAUAAAAUUCAGACUACAAUUACAAUUAAAACAAGAUUUACUUCAGUGACAAAGCUAUACAGUGAAUAAGUACAAGAAGUACAAGAAAACAGUGUAUUUUGAAAAAUGCCAUGUCAAGAUAUAAUCAAACCUUGCUAUUAUAAAUCAAUCCCAAUUUUAAGAUAUAACAAACAAAUCAGUAAAAAAAUAUGGCUAUGCAAUUAAAGAUUGCUUAAAUAGUUGAGUUACUACAAGAUUGAAAAAAACAAACAUAAAGAAACAUUUAUCUAUUUCAAGUGUAAAUAGUAGUUAGUAAAACAUUAAAUUAAAAAACGAACAUGCAGUAACAUUUAUCCAUUUCAAACAGUAAAUAGUAAAACAGCUUGAAGGGUAUGCUACUUACUGGAUCCUGGCUUUUCGACUUCUCUGACAAUGUGGGUCAUACCAGCCUUGUAACCCAAGAAGGCAGUUAGCUUGGGUGGCUUGGUUGGGUCAUCCUUAGGGAAAGCCUUCACUGCAUUAGUCAAAUUCAUACAGCAACCAAGUCACAAUUUAGAUAACAUCAAUUAAACAAAAAAAUCAAAAACUUCUUUUUAACGUAAAAAAAAAAAAUUAUCAAUGGCUUUAAGAAAAUUUAUUUAAAAAAAACUUGUUAUUAAAGGUUAAGAAAAUUAAUUAAAUAUGAUUGAAUAAAACAGCUCAAAUUACACAUUCAGAAGGGUUUUAAGCCGAUUAAUUACAUCUGAUUAAACACUCUCAGCUCAAAUGACCAAUUAAUUAAAUCUGAUUAAACACUCUCAGCUCAAAUGACUGAAUGAAACAAAAUCAUACAACAGUCAACAGCAUUAUAUCAUUAGAUCCAACCAUUAAAACCAAUCUAACAAACAAAAUGAUUGCCAUUUUUGCUUAACAAAUUUACAACUACACGGUGUUGAACAACAUAAUGAAUAAGAAUAAGAAAAAAAGAGAUACCUUUUCCUCUGUGACGAGCAGCACGCUUUCUUGGGAGAAAUCCCAAAGAACCGUGUCUUGGGUGCUCAAACUUCCUGUGAGACAUCUUCUUCUUUCU
rnacentral:lncRNA from 1 species